AGAGUUUGAUCCUGGCUCAGGACGAACGCUUGCGACGUGCCUAAGAAAUGCAAGUCGAACGGGGUAGCAAUACCUAGUGGCGAACGGUCGCGUAACACGUGGGCAACCUGCCCCAGAGCGGGGGAUAACAACCCGAAAGGGUUGCUAAUACCGCAUGUGAACCGGUGGUGGCAUCACCGUCUGUUCAAAGGAGCAAUCCACUCUGGGAUGGGCCCGCGGCCUAUCAGCUCGUUGGUGGGGCAACGGCCUACCAAGGCUUCGACGGGUAGCUGGUCUGAGAGGACGAUCAGCCGGAUUGGGACUGAGAUACGGCCCAGACUCCUACGGGGGGCAGCAAUUAGGAAUCUUGCGCAAUGGGGGCAACCCUGACGCAGCGACGUCGCGUGGAGGAUGAAGUCUUUCGGGACGUAAACUCCUUUUCUCAGGGAAGAAGAAUGUGACGGUACCUGAGGAAUAAGCCCCGGCUAACUACGUGCCAGCAGCCGCGGUAAUACGUAGGGGGCCAGCGUUGUCCGAAGUUACUGGGCGUAAAGAGCGCGUAGGCGGGUCUUUAAGUGAGGGGUGAAAGGUUCGGGCUCAACCCGGACACUGCCUUUCAUACUGGGGACCUUGAGUGCGGGAGAGGCGAGUGGAAUGGUCGGUGUAGCGGUGAAAUGCGUAGAUAUCGAUCGGAACACCCAUGGCGAAGGCAGCUCGCUGGUCCGUAACUGCGCUGAGGCGCGAAAGCGUGGGGAGCAAACAGGAUUAGAUACCCUAGUAGUCC
rnacentral:rRNA from 1 species